UGAAGUGACUGAUACCACGCUUCCAGGAAAGCACUAAGCUUCAGCUACAAAGAACCGUACGCAAACCGACACAGGUGGGCAGGAUGAGAAUUCUAAGGCGCUUGAGAGAACUCAGGAGAAGGAACUCGGCAAAUUGAUACCGUAACUUCGGGAGAAGGUAUGCCUCUUAGAGUGUAGGACUUCGCGUUCGAAGCUUUGAGAGGUCGCAGAGAAUCGGUGGCUGCGACUGUUUAACAAAACACAGCACUGUGCCAACACGAAAGUGGACGUAUACGGUGUGACGCCUGCCCGGUGCCGGAAGGUUAAGUGAUGGGGUGCAAGCUCUUGAUCGAAGCCCCGGUAAACGGCGGCCGUAACUAUAACGGUCCUAAGGUAGCGAAAUUCCUUGUCGGGUAAGUUCCGACCCGCACGAAUGGCGUAACGAUGGCCACACUGUCUCCUCCUGAGACUCAGCGAAGUUGAAGUGUUUGUGAAGAUGCAAUCUCCCGCUGCUAGACGGAAAGACCCCGUGAACCUUUACUGUAGCUUUGCAUUGGACUUUGAAGUGGUUUGUGUAGGAUAGGUGGGAGGCUAAGAAGCCAGGACGCUAGUUCUGGUGGAGCCACCUUGAAAUACCACCCUGACCCCUUUGAGGUUCUAACCUUGGUCCGUGAUCCGGAUUGGGACAGUGCAUGGUAGGCAGUUUGACUGGGCGGUCUCCUCCCAAAGUGUAACGGAGGAGUUCGAAGGUUACCUAGGUACGGUCGGAAAUCGUGCUGAUAGUGCAAUGGCAAAAGGUAGCUUAACUGCGAGACCGACAAGUCAGCAGGUGCGAAAGCAGGACAUAGUGAUCCGGUGGUUCUGAAUGGAAGGGCCAUCGCUCAACGGAUAAAAGGUACUCCGGGAUAACAGGCUGAUACCGCCCAAGAGUUCACAUCGACGGCGGUGUUGGCACCUCGAUGUCGGCUCAUCACAUCCUGGGGCUGUAGCCGGUCCCAAGGUAUGGCUGUUCGCCAUUUAAAGUGGACGUGAGCUGGGUUCAAAACGUCGUGAGACAGUUUGGUCCCUAUCUGCAGUGGCGUUGGAAGUUUGACGGGGGCUGCUCCUAGUACGAGAGACCGGAGUGGACGCACCUCUGGUGUACCGGUUGUGACGCCAGUCGCAUCGCCGGGUAGCUAAGUGCGGAAGAGAUAACCGCUGAAAGCAUCUAAGCGGGAAACUUGCCUGAAGAUGAACUUCCCUGGAGGCUUGACCUCCCUGAAGAGUCGUUCGAGACCAGGACGUUGAUAGGUCGGGUGUGGAAGCGCUGUGAGGCGUGAAGCUAACCGAUACUAAUGCUGUGAGGCUUGAUCCU
rnacentral:ncRNA from 1 species